rnacentral:rRNA from 1 species
UACAGAGGUCUCAAGCGUUGUUCGGAUUCAUUGGGCGUAAAGGGUGUGUAGGUGGCGCCGUAAGUCGGGUGUGAAAUUUCGGAGCUUAACUCCGAAACUGCAUUCGAUACUGCCGUGCUUGAGGACUGGAGAGGAGACUGGAAUUUACGGUGUAGCGGUGAAAUGCGUAGAUAUCGGGAGGAACACCAAUGGCGAAGGCAGCUCGCUGGGACGGUACUGACGCUGAGGCGCGAAAGCGUGGGGAGCAAACAGG